rnacentral:rRNA from 1 species
GACGAACGCUGGCGGCGUGCUUAACACAUGCAAGUCGAACGGAAAGGCCCUGCUUUUGUGGGGUGCUCGAGUGGCGAACGGGUGAGUAACACGUGAGUAACCUGCCCUUGACUUUGGGAUAACUUCAGGAAACUGGGGCUAAUACCGGAUAGGAGCUCCUGCUGCAUGGUGGGGGUUGGAAAAUUUCGGCGGUUGGGGAUGGACUCGCGGCUUAUCAGCUUGUUUGUGGGGUAGUGGCUUACCAAGGCUUUGACGGGUAGCCGGCCUGAGAGGGUGACCGGCCACAUUGGGACUGAGAUGCGGCCCAGACUCCUACGGGAGGCAGAAGUGGGGAAUAUUGCACAAUGGGCGGAAGCCUGAUGCAGCAACGCCGCGUGCGGGAUGACGGCCUUCGGGUUGUAAACCGCUUUCGCCUGUGACGAAGCGUGAGUGACGGUAAUGGGUAAAGAAGCACCGGCUAACUACGUG